ACGCAGUUAUCGCUCUCACGCCCUUGCGCACAACUGUGUAAAGUUCUACCCUUGGACCUAAAAAACCACCCCUGAAGUCCUUUUUAGUGUUAGGUAGCCCUCAACGACCAAUUAAAUUCAGAGUUGUGUCAGCCCGACCGUAAGAAAGAGAGUGACCCUUUAGGCACAUUCACCGAUCUGAUGUUUCGAAGAUUGAGUAAGAGCAUGCUGUUGGACCCGAAAGAUGUACUAGCUGAAUAGGUGAAGCAGAGGAAACUUCUGGUGAGCUCGCAGCGGUUCGACGGCAAUCAUUCGUCCAAUUUGGCUAAGGGGGAGAGUUUUGAGAUUUUUUUGAAGGGGUUUUUUUUUUGGUUUUUUUCUUCCCGUUAAAUCUACAUAGCGAGAAAGAAACCAACAGGGAUUGCCCUAGUAACGGCGAGUGAAGCGGCAACAGCUCAAAUUUGAAAUCUGGCUCUUUUAGAGUCCGAGUUGUAAUUUGCAGAGGGCGCUUUGGCGUUGGCAGCGGUCCAAGUUCCUUGGAACAGGAUGUCACAGAGGGUGAGAACCCCGUACGUGGUCGCUGGCCUUCGCCGUGUAAAGCCCCUUCGACGAGUCGAGUUGUUUGGGAAUGCAGCUCUAAAUGGGAGGUAAAUUUCUUCUAAAGCUAAAUACUGGCCAGAGACCGAUAGCGCACAAGUAGAGUGAUCGAAAGAUGAAAAGCACUUUGGAAAGAGAGUCAAAUAGCACGUGAAAUUGUUGAAAGGGAAGCGCUUGCAGCCAGACUUGCCUGUAGUUGCUCAUCCGGGCUUUUGCCCGGUGCACUCUUCUGCGGGCAGGCCAGCAUCAGUUUGGGCGGUUGGAUAAAGGUCUCUGUCAUGUACCUCUCUUCGGGGAGGCCUUAUAGGGGAGACGACAUGCAACCAGCCUGGACUGAGGUCCGCGCAUUUGCUAGGAUGCUGGCGUAAUGGCUGUAAGCGGCCCGUCUUGAAACACGGACCAAGGAGUCUAACAUCUAUGCGAGUGUUUGGGUGUCAAGCCCGAACGCGUAAUGAAAGUGAACGGAGGUGGGAACCCUUUUAGGGCGCACCAUCGACCGAUCCUGAUGUCUUCGGAAGGAUUUGAGUAAGAGCAUGGCUGUUGGGACCCGAAAGAUGGUGAACUAUGCUUGAAUAGGGUGAAGCCAGAGGAAACUCUGGUGGAGGCUCGCAGCGGUUCUGACGUGCAAAUCGAUCGUCAAAUUUGGGCAUAGGGGCGAAAGACUAAUCGAACUAUCUAGUAGUGGUCUCG
rnacentral:rRNA from 1 species